rfam:TPA: Bos taurus chromosome 14, whole genome shotgun sequence.
UCCCUGAUGGUCCAGUGAUUAAGACUCCGCUUCCACUGCAGGGGACACAGGUUCAAUUCCUGGUCAGGGAA